AUUGAACGCUGGCGGCAGGCUUAACACAUGCAAGUCGAGCGGGGUGAUGGUGCUUGCACUAUCACUUAGCGGCGGACGGGUGAGUAAUGCUUAGGAAUCUGCCUAUUAGUGGGGGACAACAUCUCGAAAGGGAUGCUAAUACCGCAUACGUCCUACGGGAGAAAGCAGGGGAUCACUUGUGACCUUGCGCUAAUAGAUGAGCCUAAGUCGGAUUAGCUAGUUGGUGGGGUAAAGGCCUACCAAGGCGACGAUCUGUAGCGGGUCUGAGAGGAUGAUGCGCCGCACUGUGACUGUGACACAGGCCAGACUCCUACGGGGGGCGGAGAUGGGGAAUAUUGGGCAAUGGGGGGAACCCUGAUCCAGCCAUGCGGCGUGUGUGAAGAAGGCCUUAUGGUUGUAAAGCACUUUAAGCGAGGAGGAGGCUCUUUUGGUUAAUACCCAAGAUGAGUGGACGUUACUCGCAGAAUAAGCACCGGCUAACUCUGUGCCAGCAGCCGCAGUAA
rnacentral:rRNA from 1 species